rnacentral:rRNA from 1 species
AACGAACGCUGGCGGCAUGCCUAACACAUGCAAGUCGAACGAGACCUUCGGGUCUAGUGGCGCAGGGGUGCGUAACGCGUGGUAACCUGCCCUUAGGUUCGGAAUAACUCCCCGAAAGGGGUGCUAAUAUCGGAUAAUGUCUUCGGACCAAAGAUUUAUCGCCCUUGGAGGGGCCCGCGUUGGAUUAGCUAGUGGGUAGGGUAAAAGCCUACCAAGGCGACGAUCCAUAGCUGGUCUGAGAGGAAGGGCAGCCACACUGGGAGUGAGACACGGCCCAGACUUCUACAGGAGGGAGCAGUGGGGAAUAUUGGAAAGUCGGCGGAAGCAUGAUGCAGCUAUGCCGCGUGAGUGAUGAAGGCAUUAGGGUUGUAAAGCUCUUUUACCCGGGAUGAUAAUGACAGUACCGGGAGAAUAAGCUCCGGCUAACUCCGUG